rnacentral:lncRNA from 1 species
GAACAGAAAUUCCUCUCUCUCGUCUGUUUCUACAAGGAUUAACCUCUAGAGCCAGCAGUUUGAGCUCAGUAUUGCUUCAUUUUGCUUGCUGUUAAAGAUACAAAUAGAAUUAACUUGUUUAGAUUUUAGAAAAGAAAAGAAAAGAAACUACUCUUUGUUCUCAUAUUAACAUCACCUAUAAAACUGUCAUUUCUCCGGGCUGUUUUUUGGCGUAUGACUUUGCCAUAACUAUCCCUUCAGGCACCUCCAUGGGUGUCAUGUGAACUCUGGCAGAUUUCCGUAUUUGUUAGAACUUCUGGAAGACAUCAUCAAGUAGAAACCUUUCACCUCACUUUCCAACAACUGUCUAGGACCACUUCGCUUCACGUUGACUCCUCAACAUAGCACAUGAGGAUCACCUCCCAGGUAGGGUACAGCUCGUUAGACAGUACUGAGGCCCAGGUUCCAGAGCUAAAUUUAAAAAAAUCAAUUCAUCCAAGUGGUUCUCUUUAUUUUAGUAGUUGGUAAGACGUUUUUUUCUUCUCCCCAAAGCUCCCCAGUACAUAGUUGUGUAUUCUAGUCAUAGGUCCUUCUGGUUGUGCUAUAUAGGACGCCACCUCAGCAUGGCCUGACGAGCGGUGCCAUGUGCUCACCCAGGACCCAAACCAGCGAAACCCUGGGCCACCAAAGCGGAGUGCAGGAACUUAAGCACUCAGCCACGGGGCCAGCCCCAGUUGGUCUACUGGAGAUCGCUUACUUAACAAACGGAUAGCACAGCCUCAGAGUCAUCAGAUACAACAUCAAAUUCCAACAUAUUAAAAAAGGAAAGAAUACAUGUGACGGAAAUUACCUUUGCUUACAAAAACUUGUUACAUACAAUCUGCAUAUUUUUAUUGGACCAAGAACUGUACUCUCCAUUUACAAAACCCAGAGAGAAACCUGCUAAAGCAAAGCAAAUUGAGUCUGCAGUUUUCACCAAGAGGUUGAAGGACUCUUCCACGCCAAGAGCAGUGCUCCUGACGAUGAAGACGUGGAGAGGGUGCGGAGGGUGGCUGAGCACUGGUGAUUGUCCCACCUGAGCAUGAUGGUUCCCGAUUUGGGAACUAGCCGUUCCACCCCCUCUUUCACUAUGUGCCCGAAUAUAUUCAAAAUGUCGUAUACACAUACAAUGAAAUGCUUUUCAGCAUUAAAAAAAGGAAGACAUCCUGCAAUAUGCGACAACGUUGAUGAAGGGGGACGUGAUGCUCAGUGAAAUAAUCCAGUCACAGAAGCACAAAGGCUGCGUGAUUCCACGUGUAUGAUGGAUUGUUCCUGAAGGAAACCAGAAUACGUGACCCCAAAAUAUGCCACCUUGACACAGUGGUUAAUUUGCAUUAAAGGCACUUGAGAAACAGUUGGUGCAAGAAGGCCACUCUGACGCCCCUUUGUCCUCCUGCGACUUCCCUGCGGCAUGUCCCCUCCCAGUGCCGGGACAAGGGAGGCAUCCUCACCGCCAGACACAGGGACUGGGGCCGAGGAAUCUGUGCAAACGAACCUUGCGAAACUCACCCUUAGCUGCCCAGUUCCAUCCUCAUGAUUUACUGCCCCAACCCAAACUCCUUUGUCUUGCC